GACGAACGCUGGCGGCGUGCUUAACACAUGCAAGUCGAACGGAAAGGCCCUGCUUUUGUGGGGUGCUCGAGUGGCGAACGGGUGAGUAACACGUGAGUAACCUGCCCUUGACUUUGGGAUAACUUCAGGAAACUGGGGCUAAUACCGGAUAGGAGCUCCUGCUGCAUGGUGGGGGUUGGAAAGUUUCGGCGGUUGGGGAUGGACUCGCGGCUUAUCAGCUUGUUGGUGGGGUAGUGGCUUACCAAGGCUUUGACGGGUAGCCGGCCUGAGAGGGUGACCGGCCACAUUGGGACUGGAGUACGGCCCAGACCCCUCGGGGGGGCAGAGGGGGGGAAAUUGCGCAAAGGGCGGGAAGCCUGGGGCGGCAAGGCCGGGGGGGGAUGACGGCCUUCGGGUUGUAAACCGCUUUCGCCUGUGACGAAGCGUGAGUGACGGUAAUGGGUAAAGAAGCACCGGCUAACUACGUG
rnacentral:rRNA from 1 species